AGCAUUGUCAAGGAACUCGGCAAAAUGCCCCCGUAACUUAGGGAUAAAGGGUGCCUGGGAAACCAGGCCGCAGAGAAUAGGCUCAAGCAACUGUUUAGCAAAAACACAGGUCUAUGCGAAACCGAAGGGUGAGGUAUAUGGGCUGACGCCUGCCCGGUGCUGGAAGGUUAAGAGGAGAGGUUAGCGCAAGCGAAGCUUUGAAUUUAAGCCCCAGUAAACGGCGGCCGUAACGAUAACGGUCCUAAGGUAGCGAAAUUCCUUGUCGGGUAAGUUCCGACCCGCACGAAAGGCGUAAUGAUUUGAGCGCUGUCUCGACAAUGCAUCCGGUGAAAUUGAAGUACCAGUGAAGAUGCUGGUUACCUGCGCCAGGACGGGAAGACCCCAUGGAGCUUUACUCCAGUUUGGUACUGGGACUCGGUAUUGCAUGUACAGGAUAGGUGGGAGGCUGAGAGACAGUAACGCCAGUUAUUGUGGAGCCGCUGUUGGGAUACCACCCUUGCAGUAUUGGGUUUCUAACCAGCCGCCGUGACCCGGCGGUGGGACAAUGCCGGACGGGGAGUUUGACUGGGGCGGUCGCCUCCGAAAGGGUAUCGGAGGCGCCCAAAGGUUCCCUCAGAAUGGACGGAAACCAUUCGAAGAGUGCAAAGGCAGAAGGGAGCUUGACUGCGACACCGACGGGUGGAGCAGGUACGAAAGUAGGGCUUAGUGAUCCGGUGGUAUUAAGUGGGAAUGCCAUCGCUCAACGGAUAAAAGCUACCCUGGGAUAACAGGCUUAUCACUCCCAAGUGUUCACAUCGACGGAGUGGUUUGGCACCUCGAUGUCGGCUCAUCGCAUCCUGGGGCUGUAGUAGGUCCCAAGGGUUGGGCUGUUCGCCCAUUAAAGCGGUACGCGAGCUGGGUUCAGAACGUCGUGAGACAGUUCGGUCCCUAUCCGGCGUGGGCGUAGGAUAUCUGAGAGGAGCCGUCCUUAGUACGAGAGGACCGGGAUGGACGGGCCGCUGGUGCAUCGGUUAGACUGCCAAGUCUACGGCCGAGUAGCCAAGCCCGGAAGGGAUAAACGCUGAAGGCAUCUAAGCGUGUAGCCCCCCUUAAGAUGAGAUAUCCCAUUCGAAAGAAGUAAACCCCCUUGAAGACGACGAGGUAGGUAGGGCAGAGGUGGAAGUGCAGUAAUGCAUGGAGCUGACUGUUACUAAUCGGGUGAGGGCUUGACCAA
rnacentral:rRNA from 1 species